rnacentral:rRNA from 1 species
UACGAAGGGGGCUAGCGUUGUUCGGAAUUACUGGGCGUAAAGCGCACGUAGGCGGAUAUUUAAGUCAGGGGUGAAAUCCCAGAGCUCAACUCUGGAACUGCCUUUGAUACUGGGUAUCUUGAGUAUGGAAGAGGUAAGUGGAAUUCCGAGUGUAGAGGUGAAAUUCGUAGAUAUUCGGAGGAACACCAGUGGCGAAGGCGAGUCCCUGGACAACACCUGACACUGAGGCACGAAAGCCGGGGGAGCAAACAGG